UACGAAGGGGGCUAGCGUUGUUCGGAGUUACUGGGCGUAAAGCGCACGUAGGCGGACUAUUAAGUCAGGGGUGAAAUCCCGGGGCUCAACCCCGGAACUGCCUUUGAUACUGGUAGUCUCGAGUCCGGAAGAGGUGAGUGGAAUUCCGAGUGUAGAGGUGAAAUUCGUAGAUAUUCGGAGGAACACCUGCGGCGAAGGCGGGUUGCUGGGCUGACACUGACGCUGAUGCGCGAAAGCCAGGGGAGCGAACGGG
rnacentral:rRNA from 1 species